AGAGCACAGGGUGGAUGCCCAGGCACCAAACGCCGAUGAAAGACGUGGCAAGCUGCGAAAAGUCACGGGGAACCGCAAGCAGGUAUUGAUCCGUGAACGUCUGAAUGGGGAAACCCGGCGGGUUAACAGCCCGUCACUAUUAACUGAAUCAAUAGGUUAAUAGGGGGAACGCGGGGAACUGAAACAUCUCAGUACCCGUAGGAAGAGAAAAUAAAGAAUGAUUUCCUAAGUAGCGGCGAGCGAACGGGAAAGAGGCCAAACCGAAGGGCUUGCUCUUCGGGGUUGUGGAUCAGCAAAAAGGACGGAAGACCUUAGCAGAAGAGGAUUGGAAAGUCCCGCCAGAGAGGGUAAAAGCCCCUUACGCGAAAAGGUCAAACGACGAGCUGACACCAGAGUACCGCAGGACACGAGAAAUCCGGUGGGAAGCCGGGAGGACCACCUCCCAAGCCUAAAUACGAAUUGGUGACCGAUAGCGCAUAGUACCGUGAGGGAAAGGUGAAAAGAACCCCGGGAGGGGAGUGAAAAAGAACCUGAAACCCUGUGUUUACAAGCAGUGAAAGUGCAAGCAAGGCACGAUCACGUACUUUUUGUAGAACGGACCGGCGAGUUACGUUAUGCAGCAAGGUUAAGAACUGAAGGUUCGGAGCCGAAGCGAAAGCGAGUCUGAAUAGGGCGAUAGUUGCAUGACGUAGACCCGAAACCGGGUGACCUAUCCAUGAGCAGGUUGAAGUGGAGGUAAAGCUCCAUGGAGGACCGAACCAGACGUCUGUUGAAAAAGGCGGGGAUGACUUGUGGAUAGGGGAGAAAUUCCAAUCGAACCCGGAGAUAGCUGGUUCUCCUCGAAAUAGCUUUAGGGCUAGCCUCAUGGAUCAUUGAUGGGGGUAGAGCACUGAAUGUGCGCGGGGGCCACAAAGCCUACCAAACGCUAUCAAACUUCGAAUACCAUACAAUGCAGACCAUGGGAGUCAGUCCGCGAGAGAUAAGUUCCGCGGGCAAAAGGGGAACACCCCAGAUCAACCGCUAAGGUCCCCAAGUUCACGUUAAGUGGAGAAGGAUGUGGAAUUGCACAGACAACCAGGAUGUUGGCUCAGAAGCAGCCACACAUUUAAAGAGUGCGUAAUAGCUCACUGGUCGAGUGAUUGUGCGCCGAAGAUGUCCGGGGCUAAACGUGACACCGAAGCGAUGGGUGCAUCUGAAAGGAUGCGCGGUAGAGGAGCAAUGUGCAGAGGCAGAAGCCGUAUCGAGAGGCACGGUGGACACUGCACAAGAGAGAAUGCCGGUAUGAGUAGCGAGAGGCAUGCGAGAAACAUGCCCGUCGAAAGCCCAAGGUUUCCUGGGGAAGGUUCAUCCGCCCAGGGUAAGUCGGGGCCUAAGCCGAGGACGGAAGUCGUAGGCGAUGGACAGCAGGUGUAGAUUCCUGCACUACCGAUGGAAUGAAGCAGUGACACAGAAGGAUAACUCGAGCAGGGUGAUGGUCAACCCUGUGCAAGCAUCAAGGUUGGGUUGUAGUGAAGUACGCAACCCUAUAAGCUGAGAUGUGAUGCGGACCGAAAUUUCAGUAGGGAAGCGAGUGAGUUCACGCUGGCGAGAAAAGCUGCUAGUACAUCCAAAGGUACCCGUACCGGAAACCGACGCAGGUGGGCGAGGAGAGAAUCCUGAGACGAACGGGAGAACCCUUGUUAAGGAACUCGGCAAAAUGACCCCGUAACUUCGGGAUAAGGGGUGCCUGCGAGAGCAGGCCGCAGAGAAUAGUCACAAGCGACUGUUUAGCAAAAACACAGGUAUCUGCGAAAGCGAGAGCUGACGUAUAGGUGCUGACACCUGCCCGGUGCUGGAAGGUUAAGGGAACAUGUUAGAGCAAUCGAAGCAUCGAACCGAAGCCCCAGUAAACGGCGGCCGUAACUAUAACGGUCCUAAGGGAGCGAAAUUCCUUGUCGGGUAAGUUCCGACCCGCACGAAUGGUGUAACGACUUGUGAGCUGUCUCAACAGGGGGCCCGGUGAAAUUGAAGUAUGGGUGAAGAUGCCCAUUACCCGCGACUGGACGGAGAGACCCCGUAGAGCUUUACUGCAGCCUGAUAUUGAGUUUCGGUAACUGAUGCACAGGAUAGGUGGGAGUCUGAGAGACAUGGGUUUCGGCUCAUGUGGAGACGGUGUUGGGAUACCACUCUUCGGUUACUGAAAUUCUAACAUAGCUCUGUGAAACCAGAGGAUGGACAGUGUCAGGUGGACAGUUUGACUGGGGCGGUCG
rnacentral:rRNA from 1 species